GCCGUCCAUAUUAUGGUUGUGCAUGAUUCAACUAACUCUUCAACUGUCUGCAUCUUUGGCCACCAUGGCUUAUCUUUCAAAUCACCAUGACCUACCUCAACAGCUUCUUUCCACCAAUUUUGGAGUUCAGGGUCUUUUUUGAGAUCAUUGUCUGUUGGAUAGUACAAUGAGACAUAAUCUUGAACCCAUUCCUUAAUGGCAAACCAUAUCUCUAGUCCAUCAACAGCAUAAGGGUAGUCUUCUAUUACAAGACGAAUUCCAUAAGGAGAAGAUGAAUCCUCCACUGCCAUUCCUCUAAAUCAUCCAAAACAUAAAACAUGUUACUUAGAUAAGUUCAUGCUUAUAAUAGAAUGAAGAGUUUUAUGUUACCUCUUGAUGAGAUCAGCAGGUAGUGCUUGAUCAGUGAAAACCCAGUUCUUAUAAACAGCUGAAGACAUCUCCACAGAAAACUUGGAGGGCAAGAAGGUUCUUUCUAUUAUGCCAUCAGAAUUAAUCAGAUUCUGCCUAGCAAGUGCAUUGAUGUUCAUAGUGUCACGGUAGUGUGGAGAUAAAAGUUUAUAAAUUGGGUGAAUCACACUUAGCUGUCUAUUUGUUGCUAUCACAAAUGGCUCAAUAACUGCAUGAGUAUUCAACCUAUAAACACACACAAAAAAAGAAAAAUUAGGAAAUUUAUAUUGUGGUGAUUGAAAUAUGAAAAAAUUUUAG
rnacentral:lncRNA from 1 species